rnacentral:rRNA from 1 species
CAGGGGGGGCAAGCGUUGUUCGGAAUUACUGGGCGUAAAGGGCUCGUAGGCGGCCAACUAAGUCACACGUGAAAUCCCCAGGCUUAACCUGGGAACUGCGUGUGAUACUGGAUGGCUUGAAUUCGGGAGAGGGAUGCAGAAUUCCAGGUGUAGCGGUGAAAUGCGUAGAUAUCUGGAGGAAUACCGGUGGCGAAGGCGGCAUCCUGGACCGACAUCGACGCUGAGGAGCGAAAGCUAGGGGAGCAAACGGGAUUAGAUACCCCGGUAGUCCUAGCCCUAAACGAUGAACGCUUGGUGUGGCGGGUAUCGAUCCCUGCCGUGCCGAAGCUAACGCAUUAAGCAUUCCGCCUGGGGAGUACGGUCGCAAGGCUG